rnacentral:rRNA from 1 species
UACAGAGGUCUCAAGCGUUGUUCGGAUUCAUUGGGCGUAAAGGGUGCGUAGGUGGCGCCGUAAGUCGGGGUGUGAAAUUUCGGAGCUUAACUCCGAAACUGCAUUCGAUACUGCGGUGCUUGAGGACUGGAGAGGAGACUGGAAUUUACGGUGUAGCGGUGAAAUGCGUAGAUAUCGUAAGGAAGACCAGUGGCGAAGGCGGGUCUCUGGACAGUUCCUGACGCUGAGGCACGAAGGUCAGGGGAGCAAACGGG